CUGGGCUCUGCUGAGGACCUCUGAGGUGAGCUUUGCUAGAAGAUGCAAUUCUCUACAUGGAAACUAGGAAGAGGAUUUUGCUGACCUGCCCUGGGCUGGGAGUUGGAGUCUGCAUCCCUUGACUUCACACUUGCCAUGGCUGCUGCAAAUGAAAGAUGUGAAAGGGGUGAUCAGGUUUUCUCUUCUGGAGCUGGGCUCUUGGUGAGGUUUCACCGUGAUUGUAGAGAGCAGAGCACAAGAUCUGGAGUGUAACCUGGGAGUGUCCAACUCACCCACUGACAGACAAGUUAAAGAAAAGAUUUUCCUAUGGAUGCUCACAGCUCAGGGAAAACCAAACCAUAAAUGUACUUAUGUAUCCUGAUAUUUAAUGAAUAGAGAUCCCUUUGUUCCUAAGUAGAUGUUGAGACAUCUCUAAUGAUGCUGUUGGAGU